rnacentral:lncRNA from 1 species
AAAAGUUUUAACUAAAAUCUCUUCGAGAUAUACAAUUUUUUAUAUAAAGUAUAUCUUCAUCCGAGUUCAUACGAAUUAGUUAUGAUUUUUUGAAAGUGCGCUGCCCAUUUUCAGAUUUGAAUUUUAGAUCUGAAACUUUUAUCGAUUAUUUGAGCACUAAGAUGGCUUCAGAUAAAAAACUUUUAAACUACAAAGUUGUAGAUCUCUUUGAUAUCUACAAUUUUCAUACAAAAUUUAUCUUCG